CCUACGGGAGGCAGCAGUGAGGAAUAUUGGUCAAUGGCCGAGAGCCUGAACCAGCCAAGUCGCGUGAGGGAAGAAUGUCCUAUGGAUUGUAAACUUCUUUUGUCAGGGAGCAAAGUCACCCACGUGUGGCUUUUUGUGAGUACCUUAAGAAAAAGCAUCGGCUAACUCCGUGCCAGCAGCCGCGGUAAUACGGAGGAUGCGAGCGUUAUCCGGAUUUAUUGGGUUUAAAGGGUGCGUAGAGGGGUUGUAAAGUCAGCGGGAAAAUCGUGGAGCUAAACGCCAAACAGCCGUUGAAACUGGUGAUCUUGAGUGGGGGAGAGGUAGGCGGAAUGCGUGGUGUAGCGGUGAAAUGCAUAGAUAUCACGAAGAACUCCGAUUGCGAAGGCAGCAUAC
rnacentral:rRNA from 1 species